AUGCUAGAUUCCCCGGCUAAGAGGACGGUCAUGCCAGAGUCCCUGGCCGAGAUGGCCACCACGCCACAUUCUGGACUUGUCAUGACCACCACGCCAGAGCCUCGUCACACCACUGCUGUUAUACAAGUUUCCUCUAAGAAUACUUUUUUGAGGCGGGGCUAUUGUACCCAAGCUCUAGUGGAUGCAAACAAGACUGAUUGGCAGUGUGAUGGACCCACCUUUAAUGUCAGUGCGAGUGGCUGGCGUCCCAGUGGUCUUUACGCUCCCAAGCCUCACAGCUUUGACACUCUCGGACCCAACAGACCUCCCUCUGUCUACUGCGCUGCCUGUGAUGGUGGUUGCCAUUAUGUGUGUCUGCUCUCUCCUGUGCAUGAGUCUGUUCCAUGAGGUCUCUCCUGUCCACGAGUCAGAGGCAUCCAGAAGUGGUGGCACCCAUCCAUGAACUCACAUUUUGCCCCGUUACGCCAGUCUUCAGUGUCACAUGACCUUUGUGGAAACUGUGGUACUUUUUUUUGUUUUAGAAUUUUUUGAUGAAUAUAAAAUUCUAAACAACAGCAUUUGAAAUCUUUGCUGUCAAUUUUGAUCAGUUGAAUGCAUCUUUCCUGAAUAAAAGUAUUUAUUUCUGUGUAUUUUUAUUUUUUAUAUAAAGCGCUAUAUAAAUAAAUAAAAGGUGACUUGUAAAGAAAUCUUACUGAUCCCAAACUUUUAAAAUGGUAUAGUGUACCAUGCUAUCAAUUUUACUUUUCACAUAUAAACUUUUUUAGUUGUGAGCAUGAAUCAUCAAAUCAUUCACUCUCAGUUCCCAGACGAGCAGAAUCCUCUCCAUCAGAGUCCCCCUGUGUCCAGUUAUCCGGCUCAGAUAGACCAGCUGUCCUUUUAUGCCAGAACCUGUCACAGUAAACCAUUGCAAAUUUGUGGAAUGGUGGAAGGAAGUAGAAUGGUUUGAUCAAUAGAUGCCGGUUUACAAAUUUCUCCAGCUUAGUCUCAAUCUCAUCCAGGGAAUCAGAGUACCAGAGCCAGCUGAAAACCUGUGACACUGAAGAGCCCAGCAGCAGAAAGAUCAUCACUGCCAUGUACACAUAGGCUUCAUCCUGAUAAAAUGACACAGCAGUCCAAAUGUCCAGCACUAUAUUCACAUUGAACCAGCUGAAGUACCAGAUGAGCCCUAUGCUGGCCCGGUAGAGUCAGUCCCUGCUGGGCUGUCCGUGAAAUUAGUGUCCUGCAUCCAGGCAAUAUCACAAAGACGGGCCACAGAGAAGUGAGCAGCGAUACAGCAGGGCAACACAGAGGCAAAGAAAGCAACCACAGCUGUUCCAGAAAAAGUAGAACAUAGAUGACAACCAACCUAGAUUGCCCAUGCAGGCAGAAAUGAACGACGUGACCAAUGAUAAUCCACCACAUCCAGGCUAUAGCAGUAGUGGCGGUGCCCACACUCACAUCUGCAGAACAGAAACAUUUUUAAAGUGAAGUGACGUGUGGCCAGGUGUGGUGACCCAUACUCGAAUGCAUACAUAUUCUAAUGUAAAGCAUAAUGUACUAUAUAU
ensembl:lncRNA